UGAGGAAUCUUGCGCAAUGGGCGAAAGCCUGACGCAGCGACGCCGCGUGGAGGAUGAAGGUCUUCGGAUUGUAAACUCCUGUCGAGUGGGACGAAUGCCGUGAGGGUGAAUACCCCUUGCGGUUGACGGUACCGCUGGAGGAAGCCCCGGCUAACUCCGUGCCAGCAGCCGCGGUAAUACGGAGGGGGCUAGCGUUGUUCGGAAUCAUUGGGCGUAAAGGGCGCGUAGGCGGCCGAUCAAGUCGGAGGUGAAAUCCCUCGGCUCAACUGAGGAAUUGCCUUCGAUACUGUUCGGCUUGAGUCCUGGAGAGGGUAGCGGAAUUCCCGGUGUAGCGGUGAAAUGCGUAGAGACCGGGAAGAACACCAGUGGCGAAGGCGGCUACCUGGACAGGUACUGACGCUGAAGCGCGAAAGCUAGGGGAGCAAACAGGAUUAGAUACCCUGGUAGUCCUAGCUGUAAACGAUGGGUACUAGGUGUGGGGGGAUCGACCCCUCCCGUGCCGCAGUUAACGCAUUAAGUGCCCCGCCUGGGGAGUACGGUCGCAAGACUA
rnacentral:rRNA from 1 species